AGAGUUUGAUCAUGGCUCAGAUUGAACGCUGGCGGCAUGCUUUACACAUGCAAGUCGAGCGGCAGCGCGGGGGCAACCCUGGCGGCGAGCGGCGAACGGGUGAGUAAUGCAUCGGAACGUGUCCAGAAGUGGGGGAUAACCCGGCGAAAGCCGGGCUAAUACCGCAUAUUCUCCACGGAGGAAAGCGGGGGAUCGCAAGACCUCGCGCUUUUGGAGCGGCCGAUGCCCGAUUAGCUUGUUGGUGGGGUAAUGGCCUACCAAGGCGACGAUCGGUAGCUGGUCUGAGAGGAUGAUCAGCCACACUGGGACUGAGACACGGCCCAGACUCCUACGGGAGGCAGCAGUGGGGAAUUUUGGACAAUGGGGGAAACCCUGAUCCAGCCAUGCCGCGUGCGGGAAGAAGGCCUUCGGGUUGUAAACCGCUUUUAGCUGGGAAGAAAAGAUCACGGAUAACACCCGUGGUUCUUGACGGUACCGGCGGAAUAAGCACCGGCUAACUACGUGCCAGCAGCCGCGGUAAUACGUAGGGUGCGAGCGUUAAUCGGAAUUACUGGGCGUAAAGCGUGCGUAGGCGGUUCGUUGUGUCUGUGGUGAAAGCCCCGGGCUUAACCUGGGAAUUGCCAUGGAAACUGGCGAGCUUGAGUGUGGCAGAGGGGGGUGGAAUUCCGCGUAGCAGUGAAAUGCGUAGAGAUGCGGAGGAACACCGAUGGCGAAGGCAGCCCCCUGGGCUAGCACUGACGCUCAGGCACGAAAGCGUGGGGAGCAAACAGGAUUAGAUACCCUAGUAGUCC
rnacentral:rRNA from 1 species